CUCCAGGAAGCAGCUCCCCUGUCCUCCCGCGCGAUGCUGUGUGGAGUGUUGCCAUGGUAACGCGCAGCAACGCUCCACACAGCAUCGCGCGGGAGGACAGGGGAGCUGCUUCCUGGAG